rnacentral:tRNA from 1 species
UGCAUCGACCGGGAAUCGAACCCGGGCUGCCCGCGUGGCAGGCGAGCAUUCUACCACUGAACCACCGAUGG